rnacentral:rRNA from 1 species
ACUCAAAUGAAUAGACGGGGGCUCGCACAAGCAGUGGAGCAUGCGGUUUAAUUCGAUGCUACGCGAAAAACCUUACCAACCCUUGACAUGGUGGUCGUAGCCCGCAGAGAUGUGGGCGUCAGUUCGGCUGGACCACACACAGGUGUUGCAUGGCUGUCGUCAGCUCGUGUCGUGAGAUGUUGGGUUAAGUCCCGCAACGAGCGAAACCCUCAUCCUUAUUUGCCAGCGGUUAGGCCGGGAACUAUAAGGAAACUGCCGGUGAUAAGCCGGAGGAAGGUGGGGAUGAUGUCAAGUCAUCAUGGCCCUUACGGGUUGGGCUACACGCGUGCUACAAUGGUAUCUACAGAGGGAAGCAAUACAGCGAUGUGGAGCGAAUCCUCAAAAGAUAUCUCAGUUCGGAUUGUUCUCUGCAACUCGAGAACAUGAAGCCGGAAUUGCUAGUAAUCGCGGAUCAGCAUGCCGCGGUGAAUACGUUCUCGGGCCUUGUACACACCGCCCGU